rnacentral:rRNA from 1 species
UUAUGGCUCAGGACUGAACCGCUGGCGGCGUAGCCUAAUACAUGCAAGUCGUACGAGGGAAGUCCAGCUUGCUGGACGGAACGAGUGGCGAACGGGUGAGUAAUACGUAAGCAACCUGCCUGCAAGGACUGGGAUAACACCUGGAAACGGGCGCUAAUACCGGAUAGGUAACAAAGGGGCAUCCCUAUGUUAUUAAAGGUUGAAACACAAGCAGAUGGGCUUACGGUGCAUAGCUAGUUGGUGAGGUAACGGCCCACCAAGGCGAUGAUGCAUAGCCGGCCUGAGAGGGUGAACGGCCACAUUGGGACUGAGACACGGCCCAGACUCCUACGGGAGGCAGCAGUAGGGAAUUUUCGGCAAGUGGACGAAAGUCUGACCGAGCAACGCCGCCGUGAGUGAAGAAGGUUUUCGGAUUGUAAAGCUCUGUUGUAAGGGAAGAACAGCACGGAAAGAAUCCGUGAAUGACGGUACCUUACCAGAAAGCCACGGCUAACUACGUGCCAGCAGCCGC